rnacentral:rRNA from 1 species
CGCGGCCUAUCAGCUUGUUGGUGGGGUAAUGGCCUACCAAGGCGACGACGGGUAGCCGGCCUGAGAGGGUGACCGGCCACACUGGGACUGAGACACGGCCCAGACUCCUACGGGAGGCAGCAGUGGGGAAUAUUGCACAAUGGGCGAAAGCCUGAUGCAGCGACGCCGCGUGAGGGAUGACGGCCUUCGGGUUGUAAACCUCUUUCAGUAGGGAAGAAGCGAAAGUGACGGUACCUGCAGAAGAAGCGCCGGCUAACUACGUGCCAGCAGCCGCGGUAAUACGUAGGGCGCAAGCGUUAUCCGGAAUUAUUGGGCGUAAAGAGCUCGUAGGCGGUUUGUCGCGUCUGCUGUGAAAGACCGGGGCUCAACUCCGGUUCUGCAGUGGGUACGGGCAGACUAGAGUGCAGUAGGGGAGACUGGAAUUCCUGGUGUAGCGGUGAAAUGCGCAGAUAUCAGGAGGAACACCGAUGGCGAAGGCAGGUCUCUGGGCUGUAACUGACGCUGAGGAGCGAAAGCAUGGGGGGCGAACAGGAUUAGAUACCCUGGUAGUCCAUGCCGUAAACGUUGGGCACUAGGUGUGGGGGACAUUCCACGUUUUCCGCGCCGUAGCUAACGCAUUAAGUGCCCCGCCUGGGGAGUACGG